UCUCCAACUAGUUUUCGGUACCUUGUGUUUCAUUAUGGUACCAAAGAUGAUUGGAGAGA
rnacentral:pre_miRNA from 2 species